AAAAAAGGAAGAAAAAAGAAGAAAGAAGAGAAUUUAAGAAGAGGGGGAAAAAAGAAGAAAAGGGAAGAAAAAAAGGGGAAAAAAAAGAACAAAAAACAAAAAGAGCAAAACCCGGAGAAAAGAGGUCUUUUCUAUUAAAUAGAAACAAGAUGUUCAAAUAUAGAAUGCAAGAAUUUGAAAUCUGGUGUUUUCCACUCUUGGAUGCUGAUGGCAUUAAAAAAAUCCACUUUGCUGCUUCUGCAAUUUAAAUCCUUACAUCCAAACAUAAAUUAUCCGGAGGGAUAUUAUUUUUAAUUAAAAUGCUCUUUCCGGAAGGAGUUGUUUUGAACUUCACUUCAGUUUUCCCGAAGAUUUUUCUCUUCCCUCUGAUUUAACAUUUCCAUUAAUUACACUGUUCUUAAGCCAUGUCUUGUAAGCGACAUGGGUUGACGUUUCUGAAACUUUGACAGAAAACAGUCCACUUGUUUUGUUUUGUUUUGGGUGAAUGGUUUUGGUGAAAAUGCAUAGCUCUGAAACAACUCAGAGGGAGUGGAAAACCCGGAGCUCUUCAGGCAUGUCAAUGAAUACACAAAAAGCCCCCAUGUUUUUUCAAUGAGCUCUUGAACGUCGAGCUAUACGCUCCGGCUUCCGAGGGGCAAACCGAAAUUUCUGCAGCUCCGGAUGUAUUUGGGCACCUAAAUAUAAGUGGAGCUGUUCUUAGAAAUGCGGAACCCUCACAGAUCUCAGCAAAGGCGAGAAGGGCAGCUCUUGUUGUCACCUCUAAAACCCACUCCUUUUCCUCUCGCUGCCUGAAUGUGACUCUGGGCACUUGGACUGCCGGUUGAGUUCAGCUGCUUUACCAUUUCUUCUUAGAGAAGAACUGGAGAAACAGGAAAACUACUUCUGCAUUCAGUGAAAUAAAGGACUUGAGGCAUUUGGUGAACUUCAAAAGGUUUGAGAGCAGUAGGGCUAGCACACCUGCUUUAUGUUAGAUGGUCUGGAGGCAACCACCUAAGCCACUCAGCACUGGCCCCGCGUUCCCAUAAUGGGCUCCCAGAAGGGCUCCUAUUGCAUUUGCUCCAUUGCCAAAAACCACCUCCCGCCACCAGGAGAAAGGGGCCCGAGCCACCAACUGCCAUGUGCUGAAGGAUGCCGGGAGCAGAGUGGGGCACCUCCAGACUUGCAUCGCCACCAAAUCUUACGCUCUGCCAUUUUGAGCGCACCUUCUUUUUGGUGUUUUGCUUUGGUGUUUUGUCUUCCUGAAGCCCACCCCCAGGUCUUUUCAGGUUAGAGAGACCAGAAAGCUGGCGAGGAAACAAAAUUCCUGGUAAAAAAUGAGAAAAGGCAAGAGAAAUCACCUUCUUUUAUGCCAGCUGGCACGUUCUUUAGGGAAGGACAACUGGGGUUUUUCUGUUACUCAGAGCUGGCAAGCAUCAGGGGUUCGUUUAUACACAUCCCAUGACUUCUCAUCAACUUUUCUACUAUUUGAUGGGCUCUCUUAAAUAUCAGGAUCCCAGCACAAUGGGAAGCUCCGCUGAGCUAUCCAGCCUCCUCUGCUCCCAGGCAAUUGCCACCAAAUGUAUGUUAAAAGAUAGAGAAGGUGAAGGGGAGCUGGGGGCACAGGCACAACUACUGGGGCAGGUACAUCUGCUAAGAAGUCCUAGUGGCUUCAUUGACUUUUUUUUCUCUUCUCCCUGAAAGUAAUUUCUGAAUCAAUCACUCCGCUAUCAGCUUGCUCUAGAGAUGGAUGAGUAACACUAGUGAGAUAAAAGAGUCAAGACUCCCCUUCCCUUGAAUUGGCUGCUUUUUGUUAACAGUAUUCGGAGAGCCAUUAUUUCCCAUAAAAGACAUCUGGAAAAUCAUCAGCGUGUGGUGGAGAAAGUGGCUGUUCUGCUUUGUACUCCCCUUUGAUCCAACAUGGAGCACAACUCACUGCCUUCUGAGAUCAAUAGCUCCCAUCCUGGGGCAUUUUUCUUUCUCAUCUACCGCGGCUGAUUUGAACCACUUUAAGAAAACACAAAUGUCAACUUUUUUGUUGUUGUUGAAUGUGUGUGUUUAUGGAUUUGUGACAGUAAUGCUAGUGCCAGGAAGAGAAUGGCAUGGACCAGCUGCAUGCCCCCAGUGAGUACCACCAAUGGAGUGCUUCCUCUAAGCUUGGUUAGCUUCACUUUUGUCAUACCACGCAACUAAAGAUGCAUGCGCAAACAGGUGGCCAUAGCCUCGGGGGGAUCAGAGAGAAAAGUGUCAACUCUAGCUUGAGCCCAAGCUGCCUACACAGUGGGGUGAGAGGUUAAAAGCAGCUUUAAACUG
rnacentral:lncRNA from 1 species